rnacentral:rRNA from 1 species
AGAGUUUGAUCCUGGCUCAGGAUGAACGCUGGCGGCGUGCUUAACACAUGCAAGUCGAACGAAGCACUUUAUUUGAUUUCUUCGGAAUGAAGAUUUUGUGACUGAGUGGCGGACGGGUGAGUAACGCGUGGGUAACCUGCCUCAUACAGGGGGAUAACAGUUGGAAACGACUGCUAAUACCGCAUAAGCGCACAGGAUCGCAUGAUCCGGUGUGAAAAACUCCGGUGGUAUGAGAUGGACCCGCGUCUGAUUAGCCAGUUGGCAGGGUAACGGCCUACCAAAGCGACGAUCAGUAGCCGACCUGAGAGGGUGACCGGCCACAUUGGGACUGAGACACGGCCCAAACUCCUACGGGAGGCAGCAGUGGGGAAUAUUGCACAAUGGGGGAAACCCUGAUGCAGCGACGCCGCGUGAGCGAAGAAGUAUUUCGGUAUGUAAAGCUCUAUCAGCAGGGAAGAAAAUGACGGUACCUGACUAAGAAGCACCGGCUAAAUACGUGCCAGCAGCCGCGGUAAUACGUAUGGUGCAAGCGUUAUCCGGAUUUACUGGGUGUAAAGGGAGCGCAGGCGGUGCGGCAAGUCUGAUGUGAAAGCCCGGGGCUCAACCCCGGUACUGCAUUGGAAACUGUCGUACUAGAGUGUCGGAGGGGUAAGUGGAAUUCCUAGUGUAGCGGUGAAAUGCGUAGAUAUUAGGAGGAACACCAGUGGCGAAGGCGGCUUACUGGACGAUAACUGACGCUGAGGCUCGAAAGCGUGGGGAGCAAACAGGAUUAGAUACCCUGGUAGUCCACGCCGUAAACG